GAUGAACGCUAGCGGCAGGCCUAACACAUGCAAGUCGAGGGGUAGAGGCUUUCGGGCCUUGAGACCGGCGCACGGGUGCGUAACGCGUAUGCAAUCUACCUUUUACAGAGGGAUAGCCCAGAGAAAUUUGGAUUAAUACCUCAUAGUAUCUUUGCCUGGCAUCGGGUGAUUAUUAAAGUUCCAACGGUAAAAGAUGAGCAUGCGUCCUAUUAGCUAGAUGGUAAGGUAACGGCUUACCAUGGCAACGAUAGGUAGGGGUCCUGAGAGGGAGAUCCCCCACACUGGUACUGAGACACGGACCAGACUCCUACGGGAGGCAGCAGUGAGGAAUGUUGGACAAUGGGCGCAAGCCUGAUCCAGCCAUGCCGCGUGCAGGAAGACGGUCCUAUGGAUUGUAAACUGCUUUUGUACGGGAAGAAACACUCCUACGUGUAGGAGCUUGACGGUACCGUAAGAAUAAGGAUCGGCUAACUCCGUGCCAGCAGCCGCCGUAAAAC
rnacentral:rRNA from 1 species